rnacentral:rRNA from 1 species
CUACGCGUGGCCGCCUGCCUAUACAUGCAGUCGAGCGAACAGAUAAGGAGCUUGCUCCUUUGACGUUAGCGGCGGACGGGUGAGUAACACGUGGGUAACCUACCUAUAAGACUGGGAUAACUUCGGGAAACCGGAGCUAAUACCGGAUAACAUUUGGAACCGCAUGGUUCUAAAGUGAAAGAUGGUUUUGCUAUCACUUAUAGAUGGACCCGCGCCGUAUUAGCUAGUUGGUAAGGUAACGGCUUACCAAGGCAACGAUACGUAGCCGACCUGAGAGGGUGAUCGGCCACACUGGAACUGAGACACGGUCCAGACUCCUACGGGAGGCAGCAGUAGGGAAUCUUCCGCAAUGGGCGAAAGCCUGACGGAGCAACGCCGCGCGUGAGUGGAUGAAAGGGUUUCGGGCUCGUAAAACUUCUGUUUAUUAGGGAAGAACAAACGUGUAAGUAACUGUGCACGUCUUGACCGGUACCUAAUCAGAAAGCCACGGGCUAACUACGUGCCAGCAGCCGCGGUAAUACGUAGGUGGCAAGCGUUAUCCGGGAAUUAUUUGGGCGUAAAGCGCGCGUAGGCUGUUUCUUAAGUCUGAUGUGAAAGCCCACGGCUCAACCGUGGAGGGUCAUUGGAAACUGGGAAACUUGAGUGCAGAAGAGGAAAGUGGAAUUCCAUGUGUAGCGGUGAAAUGCGCAGAGAUAUGGUAGGAACACCAGUGGCGAACGCGACUUUCUGGUCUGUAACUGACUCUGAUGUGCGAAAGCGUGGGGAUCAAACAGGAUGAGAUACCCUGGUAGUCCACGACCGUAAACGAUGAGUGCUAAGUGAUUAGGGGGUUUCCGCCCCCUUAGUGCUGCAGCUAACGCAUUAAGCACUCCGCCUGGGGAGUACGACCGCAAGGUUGAAACUCAAAGGAAUUGACGGGGACCCGCACAAGCGGUGGAGCAUGUGGUUUAAUUCGAAGCAACGCGAAGAACCUUACCAAAUCUUGACAUCCUUUGAAAACUCUAGAGAUAGAGCCUUCCCCUUCGGGGGACAAAGUGACAGGUGGUGCAUGGUUGUCGUCAGCUCGUGUCGUGAGAUGUUGGGUUAAGUCCCGCAACGAGCGCAACCCUUAAGCUUAGUUGCCAUCAUUAAGUUGGGCACUCUAGGUUGACUGCCGGUGACAAACCGGAGGAAGGUGGGGAUGACGUCAAAUCAUCAUGCCCCUUAUGAUUUGGGCUACACACGUGCUACAAUGGACAAUACAAAGGGCAGCUAAACCGCGAGGUCAUGCAAAUCCCAUAAAGUUGUUCUCAGUUCGGAUUGUAGUCUGCAACUCGACUACAUGAAGCUGGAAUCGCUAGUAAUCGUAGAUCAGCAUGCUACGGUGAAUACGUUCCCGGGUCUUGUACACACCGCCCGUCACACCACGAGAGUUUGUAACACCCGAAGCCGGUGGAGUAACCAUUUAUGGAGCUAGCCGUCGAAGUGACCGAAAUUG